AUAUUAAAUAAGAAUGAACUAUAUACCCUUACAAAUACAGAGAAGAUUAUCAUGGCCCCUGCGCAAGGAUGAUACAUCCUAAGAAAUAGAGUCCACAUUACCUA